CAAAGCAUGCAAAUUAUUUUUGCACUUGCAGAUUAAAUUAUCAUGCAGGCACUGGUGUAGCGUGGUGGAAGCGGUCCGCCCCGGCUGUCACCGUCAGAGGGUAGAGCCUUUUGUUACUUUACGUUGACGGUCAAUCUAAAUCACAAAAUAAAACAAUUCUUAUUCAAACGAAUUCGAUAUUGAUUGUAUUUUCCAACAGACACCAUAAGGCUUCAAUAUUAGCAUAUAGUUGAAGUUGUUGAAAGAAUUGCAUUACCAUAUUACCAUAUAGAAUAUCUGGUAAAGAAACAAAUGAAGUAGAUUAACCGUCCAAGACAUGUUGAUACUGAUAAUGAAGAGACACAAAGCAUUAGCAACGUUCCUGAUGCUGAUGAACUGAAUUUGCAUUCAAUGGACUCUUGAUUUGUUGCGAUUUCAUGGACAUGUUUCAAGAUAAAAUUAUUUCAAAAUUCAAAUAUUUGCACCCAUCUCUGAACAAUCAGUUCAUUCGUUCACUACUAAUUAUUAAAAAAAAAUCCAUCCCGUGGAACCAAAAGGACUAAUAAAGGAUCGAAGAAAAUAACCAAUCUGUUGGAAGGCAUUGUCGAAUGGAUGAAUCCGGAAGACGACAUUAAUCACUACGUCAUGAGCAACCAGGCACACGAAAUCCGGUGAUGAUCAUUUAAGGACAUUUAUAUUCCGAGGGAGAAUGUUUUAUUCGCAUAGGACAGACAUUUUUUUCCAGUAGGGCUUGAUAUUGAGUACGCAUUUUUCACAAUGAUCGAGACACAUUAUUUUUUCAACUGUAAGUUUGAGUCAUCACAUGCCAACUUUUUUUCUUUUUUUACGGGAGCUAUUUUGAAUGUACGGCCGUAAAUAAUUUUAUUGUUUUGUUAGAUUAGAAUUUAAGAUAUUUUUCAAAUAAAAAUGACAAAUAUUUCAAUUGAUAA